rnacentral:rRNA from 1 species
GAUGAACGCUGGCGGCGUGCUUAACACAUGCAAGUCGAACGGAAAGGCUCCUGCUUGCAGGGGUACUCGAGUGGCGAACGGGUGAGUAACACGUGGGUGAUCUGCCCUGCACUUCGGGAUAAGCCUGGGAAACUGGGUCUAAUACCGGAUAGGACCACAUUUUGGAUGGUGUGGUGGAAAGUUUUUCGGUGUGGGAUGAGCUCGCGGCCUAUCAGCUUGUUGGUGGGGUAAUGGCCUACCAAGGCGUCGACGGGUAGCCGGCCUGAGAGGGUGUACGGCCACAUUGGGACUGAGAUACGGCCCAGACUCCUACGGGAGGCAGCAGUGGGGAAUAUUGCACAAUGGGAGCAAGCCUGAUGCAGCGACGCCGCGUGGGGGAUGACGGCCUUCGGGUUGUAAACUCCUUUCGCUAGGGACGAAGCGCAAGUGACGGUACCUGGAGAAGAAGCACCGGCUAACUACGUG